rnacentral:lncRNA from 1 species
AGGCCUUCUUCUUCCUGUUAAGAAGAGAGUGCUCUGGUGUAUUCAAAAUAGUUCCUUUUCCCCUCCCUUUGCUGGAAGCAGGAUCCUGUUUGAUCUCUAGGAGGCAAAACUAACAAAAGUGUACCCUUUUCUCCCCGUGCCUGGUGACUGGGUCUAGCCAGAGUUUUUACCUCCAGACUUGUCCACAAUGAACCCCCGGCACUUCGUCAAUUACAGUUCAGAUGUUUCUACCCUGGCACAUGGGGGUUGCUCCUCCAUGGAUUACUGCUCUUUCACUCAGCUUUUGACUUGUAAGAGUGUUGAGAAGACUUCUUCGCUACUUAUGUGCUGGACCAGAAACCAGAAGUUCACCAGUAUCCUUUGAGUAAAAUUUUUCAAAUAGUUUCAAAUCCACCUUCUAUACUUGUAUUUAAAU